CUCGUAAUAAUGGACUGGGUGUGAAGUAUCAACGGCCCGUUACUCCAAAACUGGAAAAAAAAGUUACUGGUUUUUGAGAAUAAAAUACUGAGGAAGAUAUGUAGCCCAGUGUUUGAUAUUGAGGUAAACGCAUGGCGCAGAAGAAAAAAAAUAUUGAACUGAGGGAAAUCACUAAAGUUCUAUUGUGAACAAGCUACACAUUAAAUGCCAGAGACUACAGUGGUUUGACGGUCAUACUAUGCG